AUGGUGAAGUUCACCGCACGCCGGAGCAUACCCGAGCUGGUGGCGCCGGCACGGCCAACACCACGCGAGACCAAGAUCCUCUCCGACGUCGACGACUGUUAUGACCUACGAGUAUACUCUUUUGUGAUCAAGUUCUUCCACUGCCGACCAGGCGGCCAUCCGACGACGACGCCGGCGAAGGCCGUCAAGGCGGCGCUCGCGGAGUCUCUAGUGUACUAUCAUCCCAUUGCCGGUCGGCUGAGGGAGGUCCCCGGAAACAAGCUGGUGGUAGAUUGUACCGGAGAGGGAGCGGUGUUCGUGGAAGCAUCGGCCGACGCGGGCCUGGAAGAGUUUGGACAUCCACCACUGCGGCCACCGUACCCAUGCGUCGAGGAACUCUUAUGCGAUGCAGGCGAUACGACAGUCGUGGUCGGCAAGCCCUUGUUCUUCAUCCAAGUAACAGAAUUAAUAGGCGGAGGGUUCGUACUUGGUUUUCAGGUAUGCCAUAGCAUCUUCGACGGCUUCGGAAUGAUCCAGUUCAUAAAAAGCAUAGGUGAUCUUGCACGUGGCGAGGUGCAACCGGCAGUGCUACCCGUGUGGGAGAGGCAUAUUCUGAUGGCACGCACUCCUCCCCGCAUCACCGACAUCGACCCCGCAUACUCACCGGUCCUAACUGGCUCCGAGUACGAUGUCAAUAGGAUUGUCAAUGACGUUAUGCUAUCAACGGCAGUCGAGAGCAUGGUGCACAAGUACUUGCUCUUCAGUCCGAGAGAUAUAACUCAUUUACGAGGGUAUAUCGUCCCAUCGCUUCUCACCAAACCCGCCACCGCCUUCGAGCUUCUCACUGCUGUAAUGUGGCGCUGUCAGACGAUAGCGCUCGGCUACGAGGUCGAUACAAAAGUACGCCUCAUCUUUACGCUCAAUGCCCGUGGGAGAUGGAAGCAUGAUUUGCCCAUCCCACGGGAAUACUACGGAAACACCCUUGUGUACACCAUAGCGGAGAUCACGGUAGGUGACCUAUGCGGGAAGCCACUCGGCCACAUUGUGGAGCUAAUUCGUAAGGCCAAGACUGACAUGUUGCUGGAGCGGAUGCGGUCAAUGGUGGAUAUGAUGGCACUAUUGCGUGGGCGGCCGACUUUGCCCGCGCAACAAGUCUACUGGGUGACAGACAAUAGUCACAUUGGAGGUGACACAGUGGACUUUGGGUGGGCAGAGUGGGUUGGUGGUGAAAUGCCAGUCCCGAAGCUAUCAAGCUUCCACACUAGAUGCAAGGAUAUACAUGGGGAGGAAUCAAUCACGGUGUCAGUCUUAUUGCCAGGGUUGGUGAUGGAGAAGUUUGCUAGUGAGAUCGCCUCCUGGUUGAACAAGGACAACGGAGGCAACUACUUUACACCUAGCUCCCUCUAG
rnacentral:rRNA from 1 species